GAGUUUGAUCAUGGCUCAGGACGAACGCUGGCGGCGUGCCUAAUACAUGCAAGUCGAGCGAGGAACUUCGGUUCCUAGCGGCGAACGGGUGAGUAACACGUGGGCAACCUGCCCUCAAGCCUGGGAUAACUCCGGGAAACCGGGGCUAACACCAGAUAAUCUUUUCCAUCGCAUGAAGGAGAAGUAAAAGUUUACACUUGAGGAUGGGCCCGCGGUGCAUUAGCUAGUUGGUGGGGUAAAGGCCUACCAAGGCGACGAUGCAUAGCCGACCUGAGAGGGUGACCGGCCACACUGGGACUGAGACACGGCCCAGACUCCUACGGGAGGCAGCAGUAGGGAAUUUUCCGCAAUGGGGGCAACCCUGACGGAGCAACGCCGCGUGAGUGAAGACGGUCUUCGGAUUGUAAAGCUCUGUUCUUGGGGAAGAAACAAAUGACGGUACCCAAGCAGAAAGCCCCGGCUAACUACGUGCCAGCAGCCGCGGUAAUACGUAGGGGGCAAGCGUUGUCCGGAUUUAUUGGGCGUAAAGCGCGCGCAGGUGGUGGAUUAAGUUGUGGGUAAAAGGCAUUGGCUCAACCAAUGUAAGCCUGCAAAACUGGUUCACUUGAGUGCAGGAGAGGGGAGUGGAAUUCCCGGUGUAGCGGUGGAAUGCGUAGAUAUCGGGAGGAACACCAGUGGCGAAGGCGACUCUCUGGCCUGUAACUGACACUGAGGCGCGAAAGCGUGGGGAGCGAACAGGAUUAGAUACCCUGGUAGUCCACGCCGUAAACGAUGAGUGCUAGGUGUUGGGGGCAUCACGUCCUCAGUGCCGAAGGAAACCCAUUAAGCACUCCGCCUGGGGAGUACGGCCGCAAGGCUGAAACUCAAAGGAAUUGACGGGGGCCCGCACAAGCGGUGGAGCAUGUGGUUUAAUUCGAAGCAACGCGAAGAACCUUACCAAGGCUUGACAUCCCAUUGACCCCUGUAGAGAUAGAGAUUCCCUUCGGGGCA
rnacentral:rRNA from 1 species